CACGCUGUAAACGAUGAAUACUAGGUGUGGGUAUCGCAGGAUAUCCGUGCCGGAGCAAACGCAAUAAGUAUUCCGCCUGGGGAGUACGGCCGCAAGGUUGAAACUCAAAGGAAUUGACGGGGGCCCGCACAAGCAGCGGAGCAUGUUGUUUAAUUCGACGCAACGCGAAGAACCUUACCAGGGCUUGACAUCCACCGAAUCCUGCAGAGAUGCGGGAGUGCCGCAAGGAACGGUGAGACAGGUGG
rnacentral:rRNA from 1 species